rnacentral:lncRNA from 1 species
ACAAUCCCAGAUUCGCGAGAGCAAAAAAAAAGAAGAAAGAAAAGAAAAAGAAAAAAGGCAUCCUCGGAUGUCUCCGAGCUCAGCUGGCGGAGGAAGGCCGGCCAGGCGAGGUCUGGCCCUGGCCAGCGGCGCAGCCUGGAGCCCCCGGGAGCCCCUAGUGUCCAGGGCAGAGUCCCCUCUGGGCGCUCGCGGCGCUGCCAGUGGGGCAGGGCGGAGAGCGCGCAGGUAGAGGAUCGCGCGGCCGCCUCGCCCCUCCAGGACCCCGGGGCUCCGAACGGGCUCCCGCGUCCCCGGCAAGUCGAGCCCCGGCGAGGAAGGCGCUCGCCCGGCCGCCCGGCCAGCGGUGGCGGCCGCGGCAGCAGCAGCGGCUGCGACCGCGGCGACUGCUCCGGUCCGGGUGCGCGCCCGCGCGGCGGCUCAGCCCGGGGCCACGGCGCCUCUCGGGGUGGGGCAAAGUUGGGGGCCGGGAGCGGCGGGGGCGGGGCGCUCGGCACCGCGGACCCCCACACUCCCCCACCGCCGGCCGCCGCCUUUGUCUCUGAGCUGGGACCCCGGCCGCCCUCCCGCCCUCGGCCCGCGCCCCGGCCGGCCCUGCCUGGCGGCGCCGCCAAACUCGCCGCGCGGGCCUCGCCCCGGGCGCCUCCACCCUCCCGGGGGUCGCCGGCGGCCGGCGGCGGCGGCGGCGGCGGCGCGGGGGCCGGGGAGGAGGGGGCGGCCCGGGCUCGGCGGCGGCGGCGGCGGCGGCAGCGACGGGAGGAGGAGGAAGAAGAAGAGAAAGAGAAAGUUUGGCGCAGGGGGGAAGGCGAGCGGGACGCAGCGAGCGAGCAGGGUGCGGGCGCGGGGAGCGCGGGCGGCGGCGGCCGGGCGCGGGAGGGCAGGACAGCCCCAUGCAAAGCAGCCCAGGCGCCCGAGGAGCCCCGCGUCCGGGCGGUGGCGGCGGGAGGAGGAGGAGCAGGCGGCGGCGGCGGCGGCGGAAAAAAAAAAAAAAAAGAGGAAAAGUUGCCACCGCGGUUGCUUCUCCGGCGGCGGCGGCUGCAGCGGCGCUGCUGGCGACGGCGGCGGCGGCGGGAGCUGGCGGCGCUUUUAAUCCCGAAAAGAGGCGCUCGGGCCGCGGAGCCCAUCAAGGCAGCAGCGGAGGCUGGCGGGGUCGGCGGCGGAGGACGCUGCUGGCGGCGGCGGCGGCGGCGGCGGCGGAGCUGGAGCGCGCUCGGCGGAGCCCGGGGCGGGAGGCGGCCGCAGCCGGGGAGCCGGAGCCGCCGCCGCCGCUGCCGCCGAGCAGCAUGGUUGGCGGGAGUUUACAGCCCCCGGAGCGGGCAGGGGCCACGGAGGAGAAGCGGCGGCGGCGGCGGCAGCGGCUCUAGGCUGUAUUGGGAUGCAAAGCAGGCGGCGGCGGCGGCUGCGGCCGGGAGGAGGAGGAGGAGGAGGCGGCGGCGGUGGCGGCUGCAGCGGUCGGAGGGGACGCGCUGGAAGUGGGAGCUGAUGAGUGAAAAGAAAAAAAAGUCUUUGGAUCUUUAUUCUGCUAAUUAG